rnacentral:rRNA from 1 species
UUCGGAGCAGUGGCGGACGGGUGAGUAACGCGUGGGAACGUGCCCUUUGGUUCGGAACAACACAGGGAAACUUGUGCUAAUACCGGAUGAGCCCUUUGGGGGAAAGAUUUAUCGCCAUUGGAGCGGCCCGCGUUGGAUUAGGUAGUUGGUGGGGUAAAGGCCCACCAAGCCGACGAUCCAUAGCUGGUCUGAGAGGAUGAUCAGCCACACUGGGACUGAGACACGGCCCAGACUCCUACGGGAGGCAGCAGUGGGGAAUCUUGCGCAAUGGGCGAAAGCCUGACGCAGCCAUGCCGCGUGAACGAUGAAGGUCUUAGGAUUGUAAAAUUCUUUCACCGGGGAAGAUAAUGACGGUACCCGGAGAAGAAGC